rnacentral:lncRNA from 1 species
GUUGACACAGUGGAAUGAUUUGUAUGGAGAAGGGGGUUCCAGGAAGAAGGAGCAGUUAUCUUAUUUCUUAUAAGAUUUGACUUUUCAGAAAAUAAACAGUUUUAUGAAAGAAAUAUGGAAUGUAUAUAUAUAUAUAUAUAUAUAUAUAUAUAUAUAUAUAUAAAUACGUAGCCAAAGCUGUCUCUUUAGUUGAAGCUCCCACUUUUUGGGGCAAUGGCGAGUUAGAUAAAUGGACGGGCGAACACCGUGGGGGUGGUGGAAGUAGAAUAAGAAAGAAGGAAAACCCGGACCAUAAUUUUGCUGUCGGUCUUCAGCAUUUUGUGAUGUGAUGUGCGACUGUAAUCUUUUAGAUUGGGCUUUGCUUUUAUGUUGUUACGUCAAUUUGGA